rnacentral:lncRNA from 1 species
AUGAACGGCUCCCUCCCCUCUUCGCCUCGCCUCGCCUCGCCCCGCACCCCCGCCCGCCACUCGCCGCCGCCGCUCCGAGGCGCAGCCAGUUUCUAUAGCGACGGCGCCGAUCCUCCGAGUAGUAACAAAGCCGGCUGCCCGCGGCCGCGCCGGGCCGACGGGGGAAAGCGGCUCCCUCUCCCCAGGGCACCGGCCGGUUGCGCCCAGGAGUCAGUGUGCCCAAGGGUUGCGUGUGAGGUGAGCUCGUCGCUUUCAGAUCCAGAUCCAGACUUGAGAAGUGUCACAACAGUUGUUUUGCUUGAAAAAGUUAUAACCUUCUGA